AUUGAACGCUGGCGGCAUGCCUUACACAUGCAAGUCGAACGGCAGCACGGGAGCAAUCCUGGUGGCGAGUGGCGAACGGGUGAGUAAUACAUCGGAACGUGCCCAGUAAUGGGGGACAACUAGUUGAAAGAUUAGCUAAUACCGCAUACGACCUACGGGUGAAAGCAGGGGAUCGCAAGACCUUGCGUUAUUGGAGCGGCCGAUGUCAGAUUAGCUUGUUGGUGAGGUAAAAGCUCACCAAGGCGACGAUCUGUAGCUGGUCUGAGAGGACGACCAGCCACACUGGAACUGAGACACGGUCCAGACUCCUACGGGAGGCAGCAGUGGGGAAUUUUGGACAAUGGGCGAAAGCCUGAUCCAGCCAUGCCGCGUGUGGGAAGAA
rnacentral:rRNA from 1 species